CACACAAACCCCCCGAAGAAGCCACUGGGGCCAAACAGAGCCAGAGGAGAGAGAGAGAUCAAAGCGCAGUGAGCGUUUUACCGAGCGCUGGGAGAAGCCGUUAUGGGACAAGGGGAUAGUUAUCCAGGCGCAGAUUAAGCCAAGCUGUAAGAAGAGCUGCUAGCCUUGCAGUGAAAUCACAGCACCCCCUUCAGGAGACCAGUGCUGCAAAACACCUGCUUUCUGACAGAAAGUGAAACUCAAACUUCAAAAAACUGCACUAUAUCAGUCCCAAAAAGGACCAAGCCUCCAGCUACCCACCCACCCCUCUGCGCUGGUGGGGGGGUGAAAUGGACGCUUGGCAUGGCGGGCAAGAUCUCCAUGGUUACUGAGCCUUAGGUUUGAGUGGCACAUGGGCGGAGAGGGUGUCUGGACUGGCUGUGGAGGAAGCGGUGAUGCCAGCUGGGCGGGUUCAGGCUGGCACAGAGCCCAGAACAGGAGAGGAGAGAUUGUUACAGAUGCAGUCUAAGUUCUAGUUCUAAUGGUGGAAGAGCCUCUCAGUCCUCUGAUGUGAAUUUGCCUCUGCCUGGCUCCAUUCUGCCUUACACUCUGAACCUAUUUCCCAUGUCAGAGGCUUGUAAGCUCUUACCCCUUCUCUCUCUCUCUCUCUCUCACCCUUUUUUAAUCUAAUUUAAUCUUGUACUGUUACUAUUCGUAAUUUCACUUAUUGUUGCAUUGAGAAUUUGUCUUCAUACACAUCACAUAAGAUUAGUGCAAACAGAUAAUGAGUUAUUGGUUACUGUUAUGAACAUGACAUUAAUAUUAAUGUUCCGCCUGAAAUAUUUUCUGCAUCUAACACUGGUAUUACAUGUCUACAAUGAUAAAUACAAACUGAGAUCUUCAUAAAUUUGAACUAAGGUAGGAUUUAUUGUGAUUGUGUGGUUAGUGUUUCAGAAGCGAGCGUUGUCAAGACUUCCAGACAUACAUGAGGAGGUAAAGUGGCUUGGAGAGCUGAGCCGCCUCUGUUUGAUACACAUUUGGUUAAAAUGGACAGUGUUGAUGAGUUUGAAAGGGAAGAGUGUAGACUUCAGGACAGGAAUGCAAGAGAGGUUCGGGUAGGAGUGCAUUUUUAAGUAUUGACAAAGAAUAUGUAGAGAGGAGAGCUCUCUUAAAGGCUAGAGGGGGCUCCCAGGCGAGUCCAAAAUGAGUGGAUUAAUAUGGAGCAUUUGAGCAAAAGCAUAGUUUGUAAAUGAUUAAACAUUUUUAUAUAAAAGAAUACAUUUAUUUCCUGAAGACAGAACAGCACAUUUGAACUCAAGCAAAGCAAGCAAGCUGCUUUAUUCCAUUAAUGAGCUGAUCAGCUCACCGGCAGCCCUCAGUAGCUGUAAUGCUAGUGUUCCGCUUAAAAUCUGUAGCAGAAAAAAGGAAAUACACAAGUAAGCUUUUGCUUUUUCAGUGAAAUAUGUAGCUCUACUUUCCAAAAUUCAAAGAAGGUGCUGGUGGUUGGAAACCAUUUGAACUUUUUAGCAGUUCAUUCAGCCCCAUUCCUUAAGGACUCGAUUGGGGGCACCCCUGGCAUGUUACAGUCAUGUUUUUAAUAUAACUGCAGAAAUAGGAAGUGGCCAGGCUCCCCUUAAAUUGGCUCAUGUAUCGACUACUUUUAUUGUUCUAAGGCUCUUAACUAACAACCUCAUGGGCAGCUUCAACAUGAAGGGAAAGGGGAAAAAGAAAAAGAAGGCCCUUGAAGACACACACCUGUAUUCUGUAGUUAAGCGUUUUCAUAUAUCCUGAAAAUAAGUUUUAUUAAUUGGUGGGAGUUUCAACUUUGAAUGUUUUAUUAUGAUUCAUAAGUACAAAAUGGGACAAAAGUGUCACUGAAGCGGAGAUCCGGAUUGCAGCAUCUGACCACUUGAAACACGCACCUGGAAGAAUGGGGGGGGUGUGGGCUGCCAUCAUUAACCCCUUUAAGCACGGACUUAUUUAGUAUUUUAUUUUGAAAGCAG